UCUGCUCAGGACGAACGCUGGCGGCGUGCUUAACACAUGCAAGUCGAACGGAAAGGCCCCUUCGGGGGUACUCGAGUGGCGAACGGGUGAGUAACACGUGGGUAAUCUGCCCUGCACUUCGGGAUAAGCCUGGGAAACUGGGUCUAAUACCGGAUAUGACCACGAGGCGCAUGCCUUGUGGUGGAAAGCUUUUGCGGUGUGGGAUGGGCCCGCGGCCUAUCAGCUUGUUGGUGGGGUGACGGCCUACCAAGGCGACGACGGGUAGCCGGCCUGAGAGGGUGUCCGGCCACACUGGGACUGAGAUACGGCCCAGACUCCUACGGGAGGCAGCAGUGGGGAAUAUUGCACAAUGGGCGCAAGCCUGAUGCAGCGACGCCGCGUGGGGGAUGACGGCCUUCGGGUUGUAAACCUCUUUCAGCAGGGACGAAGCGCAAGUGACGGUACCUGCAGAAGAAGCACCGGCCAACUACGUGCCAGCAGCCGCGGUAAUACGUAGGGUGCGAGCGUUGUCCGGAAUUACUGGGCGUAAAGAGCUCGUAGGUGGUUUGUCGCGUUGUUCGUGAAAACCGGGGGCUUAACCCUCGGCGUGCGGGCGAUACGGGCAGACUGGAGUACUGCAGGGGAGACUGGAAUUCCUGGUGUAGCGGUGGAAUGCGCAGAUAUCAGGAGGAACACCGGUGGCGAAGGCGGGUCUCUGGGCAGUAACUGACGCUGAGGAGCGAAAGCGUGGGGAGCGAACAGGAUUAGAUACCCUGGUAGUCCACGCCGUAAACGGUGGGUACUAGGUGUGGGUUUCCUUCCUUGGAAUCCGUGCCGUAGCUAACGCAUUAAGUACCCCGCCUGGGGAGUACGGCCGCAAGGCUAAAACUCAAAGGAAUUGACGGGGGCCCGCACAAGCGGCGGAGCAUGUGGAUUAAUUCGAUGCAACGCGAAGAACCUUACCUGGGUUUGACAUGCACAGGACGCCGGCAGAGAUGUCGGUUCC
rnacentral:rRNA from 1 species